rnacentral:rRNA from 1 species
UAAGCAUAUCAAUAAGCGGAGGAAAAGAAACCAACCGGGAUUGCCUCAGUAACGGCGAGUGAAGCGGCAAGAGCUCAAAUUUGAAAGCUGGCUCCUUCGGGGUCCGCAUUGUAAUUUGCAGAGGAUGCUUCGGGUGCGGCCCCUGUCUAAGUGCCCUGGAACGGGCCGUCAGAGAGGGUGAGAAUCCCGUCUGGGAUGGGGUGUCCGCGCCCGUGUGAAGCUCCUUCGACGAGUCGAGUUGUUUGGGAAUGCAGCUCUAAAUGGGUGGUAAAUUUCAUCUAAAGCUAAAUACUGGCCGGAGACCGAUAGCGCACAAGUAGAGUGAUCGAAAGAUGAAAAGCACUUUGAAAAGAGAGUUAAAAAGCACGUGAAAUUGUUGAAAGGGAAGCGCUUGCGACCAGACUCGCCUCCAGGGUUCAGCCGGCAUUCGUGCCGGUGUACUUCCCUGGGGGCGGGCCAGCGUCGGUUUGGGCGGCCGGUCAAAGGCUCCCGGAAUGUAGUGCCCUCCGGGGCACCUUAUAGCCGGGAGUGCAAUGCGGCCAGCCUGGACCGAGGAACGCGCUUCGGCACGGACGCUGGCAUAAUGGUCGUAAACGACCCGUCUUGAAACACGGACCAAGGAGUCUAACAUCUACGCGAGUGUUCGGGUGUCAAACCCGUACGCGCAGUGAAAGCGAACGGAGGUGGGAGCCCCCUCGUGGGGCGCACCAUCGACCGAUCCUGAUGUCUUCGGAUGGAUUUGAGUAAGAGCGUAAAUGUGGGGACCCGAAAGAUGGUGAACUAUGCCUGAAUAGGGCGAAGCCAGAGGAAACUCUGGUGGAGGCUCGCAGCGGUUCUGACGUGCAAAUCGAUCGUCAAAUUUGGGUAUAGGGGCGAAAGACUAAUCGAACCAUCUAGUAGCUGGUUCCUGCC